UAGAUAUUAUUAAUCAAAAAAAUUUGAAUUAUAUAAUUUAAGAAAAAAGGCAAAUUAAGAGACAUAUGGAAUGGGUGAUUCAAAAUACAGGGUAAAUAUUGUUUAGAACAUUUGAUCACCAAGAUGAUUGUCUUAAAUAUGGGACAAUCCCAUAUAAUAUAGGACAUAUGGGAUCCCUAUAUUUCACAAAGUACAUUUCCAUAGGGUAAUAAUUAUAAUUAUUACUAAGUAGGUAUAACUCAUGAGUAAAGUACGGAUUUAAAGGCUUUGCUUUUUUUUUUCCUAUUACUCUAAAAAGAAGCUAUGUCAGCUACAAAUUUGAUUUAUGUUCAUGGUUUGGAAUUAAAAGUCCAAAAUUGGGGGCUAACACCAAUUAUUUAAU